GAUGAACGCUGGCGGCGUGCCUAAUACAUGCAAGUCGAGCGAACAGACGAGGAGCUUGCUCCUUUGACGUUAGCGGCGGACGGGUGAGUAACACGUAGAUAACCUACCUAUAAGACUGGGAUAACUUCGGGAAACCGGAGCUAAUACCGGAUAAUAUUUCGAACCGCAUGGUUCGAUAGUGAAAGAUGGCUUUGCUAUCACUUAUAGAUGGACCUGCGCCGUAUUAGCUAGUUGGUAAGGUAACGGCUUACCAAGGCAGCGAUACGUAGCCGACCUGAGAGGGUGAUCGGCCACACUGGAACUGAGACACGGUCCAGACUCCUACGGGAGGCAGCAGUAGGGAAUCUUCCGCAAUGGGCGAAAGCCUGACGGAGCAACGCCGCGUGAGUGAUGAAGGUCUUCGGAUCGUAAAACUCUGUUAUUAGGGAAGAACAAACGUGUAAGUAACUGUGCACGUCUUGACGGUACCUAAUCAGAAAGCCACGGCUAACUACGUG
rnacentral:rRNA from 1 species